GCAUCACUAAGAAUAGCUAGAGACAGUGAUGUAUGAGCCUAAGUAGAAAGCUGUCAUUACAAUGACUCCUCUCUUGCCAUGGACCUCCAUCAGGAAUCAGAAAAAGAAUGGUCUGGAGAAUUUCCUCUGGAAAUUUGGGACGGAAGGUGUGGGAAAGAAAAAGCUGAGUGACCUUCAGCUUCAUCUUUGCUGCACCUCCAGUGGUAAUAAGCAUGUCAAAGAAAAAAUGAAGAUAAUUCCACUUUCCCCAGGAACUUAGUCUGCCCAUUAAUUGAGUUGCAUUUCUUUAAGCUCAUGGUUUACUUCUGGGAAAGAAAUCUCUAAUUCAGCAUAGCAGUUGCCCUGUUCAGCUUGGAAGUCAGUGGUUCAUGAAGACCGUGCCUGUCUAGCCAGUCGGGUUUUGGGAUUCUCAUGCUGGGACACAUGUCGGACUCUGCAGAUGGCAUAGAGCUAAUGUAUGCUGCAGAUUCACACCCGGUAGCAAUUGCUUCUGAAACCACUGCCUCUUAGCUCCCUAUACCACAAAUAAAAUUACUUAUUCUGCACAAGCAAAAAACUUUCUGCUUGGUUUCUUGUUGGAAACAGAAAUCUUCCCUUUAUCUAGCAAAGAAAAGGCGCACCUUUGUGUUCAUUCCAUGUGUGUGAAGAGCCUUCUCAAGUGUAUAUAAUUCACCCAGCAUCUCUUCAGGCAUCAGUCUCUCAUCCUACUGAGAAAGGAAUGUUACAAAGCCAUCUGUAAGAGGAGCAGAAUUACAUGAACCCGAAUAAACGACUGCCUUAACUACUCCAAAACCCACAAUCAGGGUACCUGAUAAUCAUUCAGAAAAGAAGCAGACUUGUGAUCCCAGCUUUUUUAACUGACACCAUCUGCCUCUUAGUCUCUUUCUCCUGCUGACACCAACAGGUUUUCACCUUCUGGUUCACGAACACCUUGCCAGAAUAAUUUCCAUCCCUGGCUGGAACCAGGCUGCCUUUUUCCUCACUCUGUCGUGCCUCAGGCAGAGCUUUCCCUGGAGCAGUGCUGGAAGACAGGAGGUCCUCCUCUGUCCUGGAGUGGCUGUGAACAUCUCUGGCACUGCUGUGUCAUGCACCUUUGUUUCUGGAGAGCAGAGUGGAAGGGUGGGUGAAGCAGGAAUGUGGAUCUGCCCACUGCUCAUAAGUACCUACCUGCAGACUUAGCACCAGCGAGGCACCUCCCCUCACACAGGGGAGCAGUGGGAAACCUGGCUCUUAAUAAAAGAAGGCUUUCAAAAGGCUGGCAGAGUGAACAAUGUCAGGCUUGAAACUUAAACGUUGCACUGGUUAUUUGGUGUUCCUACGGUGAAAGACCACAUUCCACAUACAAGAUGUAAAAGAUUAUUUUUCUUCAAAUUUGGGCACAUCUGUGGCCAUCAUAUUUCACUGAUAAGAGCCAGGCAAAAGGAAAACAGAUUGUCUCACACAGUGCUGUCUCGGUGUACCUUCUCCUUCUAUGUACCAGUUAUCUGAACCUGUCCUCUGUUGUCUCAUGAGCUGUUGAUGAUUACAUCUAAUACAUUAUCUUUUAAACCCAGCAUGAAGCUAAUUACUGCCACCUAUAUCUCCAGGCACCUUGACUGCAGCUCUGAUUAUUCUUAGCUUUAUAUCAAGAAACCCCACUGACCCCUUACUGUAUGAAUUCCUCAUUUAUAGAUUUUUCUGUGCUGUGCAUGUAUUUCAGGCACAUCUUUACAGAAGGAAAUGCAGUCAAGGCCAGUUGUUUGCUGUAAGCAGAAACCUCCAUUUCUUGCUUUCCCUAAAUGCUUUCUAAUAAAAUUUGUGUUGGAACAUUGUUCUAAGAGCAUCCCUAUAAGGAAUAAUUCCAGUGACCUCAGCAAAUUACCUGUGAAUGAAUCUCACAUCAGCAAGGAAAGGGCAUUUUCUGCCUCUUUUUGGAGGUUUAGUUUUGCUGCCAGGGAGAAGGCUUUGACCUUCCCCUUUUGGGUACCAUACUUAUUAUUUGUUCAGCAUUCCUUCACAAAACUUCAGAAGUGCAAAAUAUGCCUUUCUUCACAUAGUGAUGACAAGCUGUCAGUAAUGAAGGGCACGUUGUUCUGCCCUACAGUCCCAUGGAGGACAGUGCACCCACACCAUGGCAGUUUAGGGAUUAGGGGAACACCGGAGUUCUUUGCUUGAAUUUAUAAAGUUUGGCAGGGACAGUUCUCCAGGACUUCCUUGAAAGAGUGAAAAAAUAAAAUACUCUUUAAACCAGAAACCCUCUCUUUGUCCUUGUUUCUCUAAUUAGACUAGGGGCAGUCCUUAAUACCAUGAGCCUCAGGUGAAGACAAGCAAAAUGCAAGUUUGUGUGAACUGAGACCAAAUGUAAUAGAAGAUGUUUUGACUGGAUUGGCUUACAAUGUAUCAGUAAGGAUGAUAUUUUCACGUUUGUGGGGUCUGGUGUACUUCACCCUACACCAUUUAAGAUCCUGUCUAAUUGUAUUUGUAUUAACCAC
ensembl:lncRNA